rnacentral:rRNA from 1 species
GACGAACGCUGGCGGCGUGCUUAACACAUGCAAGUCGAACGGUAAGGCUCCAGCUUGCUGGGGUACACGAGUGGCGAACGGGUGAGUAACACGUGGGUGACCUGCCCUGCACUUCGGGAUAAGCCUGGGAAACUGGGUCUAAUACCGGAUAGGACCAUGGUGUGGAUACUGUGGUGGAAAGUUUUUUCGGUGUGGGAUGGGCCCGCGGCCUAUCAGCUUGUUGGUGGGGUAAUGGCCUACCAAGGCGGCGACGGGUAGCCGGCCUGAGAGGGUGGACGGCCACAUUGGGACUGAGAGACGGCCCAGACUCCUACGGGAGGCAGCAGUGGGGAAUAUUGCACAAUGGGCGGAAGCCUGAUGCAGCGACGCCGCGUGGGGGAUGACGGCCUUCGGGUUGUAAACUCCUUUCACCAUCGACGAAGGGUUUCUGACGGUAGAUGGAGAAGAAGCACCGGCUAACUACGUG